rnacentral:rRNA from 1 species
GACAGAGGGUGCAAACGUUGUUCGGAAUUACUGGGCGUAAAGCGCGUGUAGGCUGCUUCGCAAGUCGGAUGUGAAAGCCCUGGGCUCAACCCAGGAAGUGCAUUCGAAACUGCAGAGCUGGAGUCCUGGAGAGGAAGGCGGAAUUCUCGGUGUAGAGGUGAAAUUCGUAGAUAUCGAGAGGAACACCGGUAGCGAAGGCGGCCUUCUGGACAGUGACUGACGCUGAGACGCGAAAGCGUGGGGAGCAAACAGG